AGCGGGUAUAGCUCAGUGGUAGAGCGUAACCUUGCCAAGGUUAAUGUCGCGCGUUCGACUCGCGUUACCCGCUU
rnacentral:tRNA from 1 species